CAGUCGCCGCGGUAAUACGUAGGGUGCAAGCGUUAAUCGGAAUUACUGGGCGUAAAGCGUGCGCAGGCGGUUUGUUAAGACAGAUGUGAAAUCCCCGGGCUCAACCUGGGAACUGCAUUUGUGACUGGCAAGCUAGAGUAUGGCAGAGGGGGGUGGAAUUCCGCGUGUAGCAGUGAAAUGCGUAGAUAUGCGGAGGAACACCGAUGGCGAAGGCGGCUUACUGGCUCAUUCUAGACGCUGAGGUGCGAAAGCGUGGGGAGCAAACAGGAUUAGAUACCCGCGUAGUCCCUGUCUCUUAUAC
rnacentral:rRNA from 1 species